rnacentral:tRNA from 1 species
GGGCGCUUGGCUCAGUGGUAGAGCACCGCCUUCACACGGCGGGGGUCAAUGGUUCGAAUCCAUUAGCGCCCACCA